rnacentral:ncRNA from 1 species
GGUUAAGUGACUAAGCGUACACGGUGGAUGCCUUGGCAGUCAGAGGCGAUGAAGGACGUAUUAACUUGCGAUAAGCCCAGAUUAGGCAGUAAAAGCCACUUGAGUCUGGGAUUUCCGAAUGGGGAAACCCACUAGCAUAAGCUAGUAUCGCUGCGUGAAUACAUAGCGCAGCGAGGCGAACCGGGGGAACUGAAACAUCUAAGUACCCCGAGGAAAAGAAAUCAACCGAGAUUCCGAAAGUAGCGGCGAGCGAAAUUGGACUAGCCCUUAAGCUUUAUAUGCGUUAGACGAACGGUCUGGAAAGUCCGGCGAUACAGGGUGAUAGCCCCGUAGUUGACAACGCACAUUCAGUGAAAUCGAGUAGGGCGGGACACGUGAUAUCCUGUCUGAAUAUGGGGGGACCAUCCUCCAAGGCUAAAUACUACUGACUGACCGAUAGUGAACCAGUACCGUGAGGGAAAGGCGAAAAGAACCCCUGUGAGGGGAGUGAAAUAGAACCUGAAACCGUGUACGUACAAGCAGUAGGAGCACCUUCGUGGUGUGACUGCGUACCUUUUGUAUAAUGGGUCAGCGACUUAUAUUCAGUGGCAAGGUUAACCAUCUAGGGGAGCCGUAGGGAAACCGAGUCUUAACUGGGCGUUCAGUCUCUGGAUAUAGACCCGAAACCAGGUGAUCUAGCCAUGGGCAGGUUGAAGGUUGAGUAACAUCAA